rnacentral:tRNA from 2 species
GCCCAGGUAGCUCAGCUGGUAGAGCAGCGGACUGAAAAUCCGCGUGUCGGCGGUUCAAUCCCGUCCCUGGGCA